GACGAACGCUGGCGGCGUGCCUAAUACAUGCAAGUCGAGCGAACAGACGAGGAUCUUGCUCCUCUGACGUUAGCGGCGGACGGGUGAGUAACACGUGUAUAACCUACCUAUAAGACUGGGAUAAUUUCGGGAAACCGGAGCUAAUACGGGAUAAUAUAUUGAACCGCAUGGUUCAAUAGUGAAAGACGGUUUUGCUGUCACUUAUAGAUGGAUCCGCGCCGCAUUAGCUAGUUGGUAAGGUAACGGCUUACCAAGGCAGCGAUGGGUAGCCGACCUGAGAGGGGGGUCGGCCACACUGGAAGUGAGACACGGUCCCGACUCCUGCGGGAGGCCGCAGUCGGGAAUCUUACGCAAUGGGGGAGAGCCUGACGGAGCAACGCCGCGUGAGUGAUGAAGGUGUUCGGAUCGUAAAGCUCUGUUAUUAGGGAAGAACAAAUGUGUAAGUAGCUAUGCACGUAUUGACGGUACCUAAUCAGAAAGCCACGGCUAACUACGUG
rnacentral:rRNA from 1 species